AUUUGAAAAAAACCGGAAAAGUGCAGACGACAAGACAACACUACGAUCUUUAAUAAUAAUUCAAAACAAUUUGACCAAUUAAAAAUGAGUUAGUAAAAGAACUAAUAAAAACGGAAGCACGCACAACAGUGGAAUUGUGUCAGUCCGUCGAGUUUGUUUGUAAUCGGUGCUUCCACGUCACAAAACAUAUGUUUGGAAAGUGAAGUCAGUUCUUAAUAACACAGUGUCAAAUAUGUCUCUCACAAUACUAUUAUUUGACCAAUUAUUUCGUUGUUAUGAUAACUUUAAUAAAUACUACAAACGAGCUAUAAUGCACAUCACUGGAGACCCUGACUUCUUCCCGAAAGAAGACGACAACGUUCAAGUUAUCUAGAAUGACAAUAGCCAAAUAACCACUGAUCAUUAUUGUAAUAUUCAGAAUGUGAAUAAUUUAUAACUUUUUGAAUAUUUUACUUGCUUAAUCUCAUAGUGAGAACUAGUUUUAGUUUGUACAAAUGUACUGUAUAUAAACAAUUGUGUUCAUCUCUCUAUUCUACAUAUAUUAACUCAAUUUUUAUGUAAAAUAAAAUAUAGCAGUAAUAAAAGAUUAAAUAUAUACUUUAGAUAAAUAAAUCAUAUACUUAAUCUUUUGUCUAAUUGUGAAAAUGUUAAUUAUGUAAAUAUUACACACAUCUAAAUAUUA